UACGGGGGGGGCAAGCGUUGUUCGGAAUUACUGGGCGUAAAGGACGCGUAGGCGGACAGUUUAGUCAGAGGUGAAAGCCCAGGGCUCAACCCUGGAAUUGCCUUCGAUACUGGUUGGCUUGAGACCGGAAGAGGUAAGUGGAACUGCGAGUGUAGAGGUGAAAUUCGUAGAUAUUCGCAAGAACACCAGUGGCGAAGGCGGCUUACUGGUCCGGUUCUGACGCUGAGGCGCGAAAGCGUGGGGAGCAAACGGG
rnacentral:rRNA from 1 species